GGAGGCCACAGCCAAAAGAAGGUUAUUAGACUACAUGGACAAAUAGUCUUUUCUGUGUCUGUACAACAGCUGAGGCACAGGUUGAUAUUCUGCAUCUAAAGGAAAGAAGGUUACAAGAAAUGGGCAGCAAAUAGCCAAAGAACAAAAACCUGAAGAAGCAAAGAACUAAAAAGGAGCAGCAAGCAUCAUGACUGGCAGCUGGGAGCACCACCUAGCCAUUUAACACCCUCUGGGGCUCAGGUUUGCAGGCCAGUUGACAGUUC